AACGAACGCUGGCGGCAGGCUUAACACAUGCAAGUCGAACGGGUGCAGCAAUGCAUCAGUGGCAGACGGGUGAGUAACACGUGGGAACCUUCCUAGGGGUACGGAACAACUCAGGGAAACUUGAGCUAAUACCGUAUACGUCCGUGAGGAGAAAGAUUUAUCGCCCUUAGACGGGCCCGCGUCGGAUUAGCUAGUUGGUGGGGUAACGGCCUACCAAGGCGACGAUCCGUAGCUGAUCUUAGAGGAUGAUCAGCCACACUGGGACUGAGACACGGCCCAGACUCCUACGGGAGGCAGCAGUGGGGAAUCUUGGACAAUGGGCGCAAGCCUGAUCCAGCCAUGCCGCGUGAGUGAAGAAGGUCUUCGGAUUGUAAAGCUCUUUUGCCAGGGACGAUAAUGACGGUACCUGGAGAAUAAGCCCCGGCAAACUUCGUGCCAGCCGCCGCCGUAAUAC
rnacentral:rRNA from 1 species